UCUCUGCUCCUGGCUGCUCCCUGCUCCAUCCUGCCCACAGUGCAGAGUCCCAGCCCAUGCCAGGCUCUGGCAGUCCCUCAGGUGCUUCUGCUGUCUGCUUCUGUGACCUGCUGGGGCCAAGCCAUGGUCCACUUUGACCGGAUUCAACAAUUCACCGGGAAUUCCUGCUUUGUUCAGCAAACAGACUGUGAGCCUCUGCUCCAUGCCAGCCACAAUGCUGGGCUCUGGGACACAGCUGCAAACACACUGCAGGUGGCCUCUGCCCUUUGGGUCCCCAAGUCCAAUGGGAGGAGAGACACUCGCCGCACAAAUGCAGGGGCCCUUUCUCAGCUGCAGGCGUGCUUUCCGUGGUUACACUCACUGUGGUGCUCUACAGCAAGCAUUGUGAGAGAGACAGAGAGACAGAUCACAGCCACGUGACUCUGAGGACAGUAUGCCGUUCUGAUCAUUGUACUUUAUUACUGGUUACCACUGCUCAUCUGUUACGGCACCUGAUUCCUGGCUGCACUUUGCCCUCAGCAGGGAGACUUCACAGUAUGUAUAUGUAGGCAUGCGUGCCUCACAGGCAUGGGUAGCAGAAAGCACAGCAUACGUGGGGUGGGUACCAUUCCAGGUUUCAGGCAAACACUGCGGGUCUUGGGACGCAUCCCCUGCAGGGAAGGGGGGACUCCUGGACACAGAUAUUCAUGUCAUUUUCAAUGGUGCCAACAAAAGAGAAUGGAUUCCACAAUCAAGAAAGAGGGAGUGUGUUUAAUUUGGACUAGGGUGGAUGGUGGAGACCUCCCAAGGGAAAGAGAAGGCCCUCACCAGGGACACUGCUGAGUGCUGUCAUGAGAAGCCAGGUCCAGGCUGAACGGGGUGAGAACGCACAGCAGAGCCAGGAUGGGACGCACCACGCUGGGCGGCCCCAGGACCUCUCCCUCCGAGCAGUGACCAGGAGCAGUGACUUCCAGAUGGGCGUUCACCGUUCUCUAAAGUCCGGUAUAAAUGCCGCGGGGAAACGGGGCAGGGCAUGGAAAGGAAGAUGCCAAAGGGGAGGGCAGAGCGCCGGCCACUUGCCUCUUUCCAGCUUGGCGCGCGGCCGUGUGAGCGCAGCCGCUUGGCGCCCCUCGGUCCUGGGGCUCUUCCAUAACUCGUGCUCGGUGUGAGGAUGAACACCUGGCGUCAGCGGUUCCGAGGAUGGCCUUGGGGCUGGGAAAGUGCACGUUUUGGAGACUUUUCUGAAUUUUCCUUAGACACGAAGUCAUUAUCUAAUAGUGAUUAUUCCGUGUUUUGCUAUUUUACUGCUUUAUUUUUUUGUCUUAUAUGCGCUAGGAUUCCAGAACAUUCCCAGGAUCGGCCCUGAGCAUGCAUGGCUUAUUUCUGAGUUUAUAGAAAACCUCCGGUAAUUCCCACACAUUAAAUAUCAUGCUGUUUGUUGGUAUAAAACAUCAUUUCUUUACCAAAGACCCGCCUAUUCCUAGUUUCCUAGAACUUCCUUAUCAGUCAUUGCAUCCAUUCAGAAUGUUUUCAGUUGCACAGAACAGAAUGUCCAACAAUUCCUUAAACACAUUGAAGCUUAUUUUUAUACAUAAUAAAUCAACAGGCAGAAAGCUGCUGGCUUUCCAGUGACUCAGUGACAUCAGACCAGCAUGUCUAUGGCUCUCUUGCCCUUGCCUCAUGCUCAGAAGGUGGCUCUCCAAACACCAUCUGCAUGCAAGGCAACAGGCAGGGGAGGGGGCAGAGCCAGCAGCAUCUACAGCUUCAGUUUGGACAGAACAAUCCCCCUCACAGAGCUGAGGCUCUAGUCGGGAAAAACAUUGAGCAACUACUUAUGUGUGGCUGGGCGCGGUGCUCACGCCUGUAAUCCCAGCACUUUGGGAGGCCAAGGCAGGUAGAUCACCUGAGGUCAGGAGUUCGAGACCAGCCCGGUCAAUCUGGUGAAACCCUAUCUCUACUGAAAAAUAAAAAUACAAAAAUUAGCCAGGUGUGGUUGUGGGCACCUGUAAUCCCAGCUAUUCAGGAGGCUGAGACAGGAAGAAUUGCUUGGUGGAGUUUCCAGUGAGCCAAGAUUGCACCAGCGCACUCCAGCUUGGGUGGCAGAGUGAGACUCCAUCUCAAAAAAAAAAAUAUGCACACUGAACACACACUCACUGUCUCCCUCAUCCCAUAACCCCUCCACAAGGUUCCUACUCACACCGUGGCCUCUGUUUCUCUCAUGCUUCCGCCAUCCCCUGUGGAGACCAGACCCAGCCACCCUGCAGUGUUUGGGCCCCUCAGCUGCUCUCAAAGGCUGAGCCCCUCCGGGUGCCUCUGAGAUGAAGCUUCUCACGCCUGCGCCCUUCCUUUCCAUCCUCCUUCCUCCAGAGGCCUCUGCUGUGUCGUUGCUGGGUCUGUAGUUUCAUCAGAACCGUUUCUACAGUGUUUUCCUAGAUGAGGCACGUAGGUGGUGAACUCACUGAGUUCCUGCUCCUGACAUGUCCACAGUUAUCGUUAUUGGGAGCAGGGCUUCUGGGGCUGCAGUCCUCUGUUCUUCCGCUGUUUUCAGCUUGCAGUGUUGUCGAUGGGAAGCCUGAGACCAUUCUGAUUGCUUUGCUGUUUUAGGUAACAUAUUCCUUUUGCUUGAAAAAUGGUUGGCUACUUUUUCUCAGUGGAGAAAGCACAGCACUUAUAAUUUUCCAUUGAAAUGUAUUUAGCAAAGUUUGCAUGCCAUAAAAUGGAUCCAUUUUCAAAAGUCCAUGUUCUGACGUGUAUACAUCCAUGCAUUCAUUAAAGUUUCUAUCACUGACCCAGUCAA